ensembl:snRNA U1 U1 spliceosomal RNA
CUACUCAUUAAAGUGGAGUUUUCCCAGGGUGAGGCUCAUCCAUUGCACUCUGGGUGCACUGACCCCUGCAAGUUCCCCAAAUAUGGGAAACUUGACUGAGUAAUUUAUGAUUAGAAUAGUUUGCUGGCUC